GAUGAACGCUGGCGGCGUGCCUAAUACAUGCAAGUCGAGCGCCGCGGGGACGGGUGAGUAAAACGUGGAUAACCUCCCAUAAGACUGGGCUUACCUCGGGAAACCGGAGCUAAGCCUGCUACUUAUAGAUGGAUCCGCACUGCAUUAGCUAGCUGGUAAGGUAACGGCUUACCCAGGCAACGAUGCAUAGCCGACCUGAGAGGCUGAUCGGCCACACUGGAACUGAGACACGGUCCAGACUCCUACGGGAGGCAGCAGUAGUGAAUCUUCCGCAAUGGGCGAAAUCCUGACGUAGUAACGCCGCGUGAGUGACGAAGGUCUUCGGGUCGUAAACCUCUGUUAUUGGGGAUGCGGUACCUAAUCAGAAAGCCACGGCUAACGACGUGCCAGCAGCCGCGGUAAUUC
rnacentral:rRNA from 1 species